ACAAUAAGACCAGUCUUGCUUGAACCAUUACCUGUAUCAUAUAGGCUCUAUCUAUUUGUUGAAGCAAUAAAACUAUAGAAAAUUGAUGCACUAAAACUCAAAAUUGAAUAGUAUGGGAUAACAACAUCAGUAAUUUAGAAUAAUGAGCAUUGAACAAUAAAAUGUGCUCACUGUAGUACUAAUUUGUUCGAGUUGAGUGGAUUCACAUGAUCUACGGUGGAACUAGGAGCAUUUAAAUCAAUAACAGAGUACAAAUUCAUCUUUUCAGCG
rnacentral:lncRNA from 1 species